GCACAAGCAGUGGAGUAUGUGGUUUAAUUCGAAGCAACGCGAAGAACCUUACCAGGUCUUGACAUCGGAUGCAUACCUAAGAGAUUAGGGAAGUCCUUCGGGACAUCCAGACAGGUGGUGCAUGGUUGUCGUCAGCUCGUGUCGUGAGAUGUUGGGUUAAGUCCCGCAACGAGCGCAACCCUUAUCGUUAGUUACUACGCAAGAGGACUCUAGCGAGACUGCCG
rnacentral:rRNA from 1 species